GUUUUAAAACAAAUUUUUGCUCUAUCUCUUAGCACCUGAUUGAUGAGGGAACAAGGACAGUAACAAUAUAUGUUGAGACACUGUAUUAGUUUUGUGUUUUCACAUGGUGUAGCUCAUGUGGUCUUUAUGUUUUGUUAUUUUCGCAAAACUCGCCUUUGUUGUCUUCAUUUUGCUGUUUUUAUGAGAAAAUCUUAGGUGAAGACUUUUAUUUUGAAAGUUUAAGCUACUUCCGGUUCGGUCGCGGUCGCUUGGAGAAAACAAUACGUCAGACGGCGCUGCAUGGAAAUUAAAACCAGAAGCGGAUGAAGCCUGGAGUGGGUCUUCCUCUGAGGGAUGAAGAGGAGAAGAAGAAGAUGUCUUGGCCACUCAGACAGACUGGCACACAUCCCUGUUGGACUUGGCGUUUUCCAAUCACCUACACUGUCACUGAGAGGAAAACGGGAGCUAAGAAAUAAAAGUGUUGAAGGGGGCUUUAAAUGAUAGUACUUAAGCCAUUCUUCCCACGAGGCUCGGAUUCCUUUUAAGAUGCGUCAGUGAGGAUUCUCAUUUAUCCGGGUCAUGUUAUCACAGAAUUUUCAGGGCAACUUUAAACCUUUAAAGUCCAGCUACCCUGAGGAACAGAAAUCCUGUCAUUUUGUGAUAUUAUUCAUUAGUAUAAUAGUCUCAGUGUUACGUUACUCCCACACUAUAAACUUCAAAUCGUACCUUAAAUAAUUGCUAGAAAAUUUUGAGGGUAGGAAAGCCAAAAGAUUGAGAUUGACGGACAGACAGAGUUAAUUACACCUUUUUAAAGUAAGCUUAAUAGAUUUUCAAGAUAUACAAGAUAAAGUAUAUCGUUUAUCUUGCAUUGGAAGGUUUUUGGGGGUUUUUUUACCAUAUGAAUGCUAGACUGUUGACUCCUUGUUGUAGUGGUUGCUGCUCUAACUCUGCCUCAUGGCUGUUAUUUGGAGUGAUCACAGCAAUUGAUUCAAAUUAAUUAUUCUUCCAACAGCAAAGGUGAUGUUCUGAAAUGUGUUGUAGACUUGAUCGGGACAUCCUGUUCAUGGUUUGGGGCUCCGCAGACAUCCAGUUCUAUUGGCCAACUUCCCAUGUACCAUUCCGAUCAGACUUUGGAAAGCUCUAUAUCUGGAAGUUCCAACUAGGGGCAAAGGUCUAUGCUGAUGGAAAAGAUGAGGCAGUCACUCGAUGGAGCUGUCAGCUCUUUGCCUGGUUUGAGGAAACAAAUGAUGUUUGCUGAAUUCAUAUUUGUUGAUAAUUUAUGGAUUUCUCUUUUAAAAAAUUACACUCGACUUUUGAUUAAAGAGCUACCUGACCCAUUUAUAAAGUUGUAAACUCGAGUUCAGUUGAGUUUUAUUUGUCACAAGAUUUUGUUCAACCUUAAAAAUGACAGAAGAAAAGAUGUAAAUGGUGAUGAAAAAGCUGCAAUGCUUGCUUUGGCUGUUUUACUUAAAUUAAUUGACUUUAAGAAUGUAAUAAAAAACAUGGCCCACAAAUAAAUCUUGAACCUAAAAAUCA